CAAUGACAAGAGCAAACCUGGCGAAAGUCAGGGACGCAAAGCUAUGGGUCGUCCAGUUUGGCUGACGAUUGCCAGGUUACCAAA
rfam:Desulfitobacterium metallireducens DSM 15288, complete genome.